rnacentral:rRNA from 1 species
CCUGGCGGCGAUAGCGCGGUGGUCCCACCUGACCCCAUGCCGAACUCAGAAGUGAAACGCCGUAGCGCCGAUGGUAGUGU